rnacentral:lncRNA from 1 species
GAAGUUUUAGAGUAAUGAUUAACACUUAACAAACUAACUUGUCCUGUAAAUUAGCUGUGAGUUACAGAUUUAUUAUACAAAUUAGUAGCUAGGCAUUGAUCUUAGUUGUUUUGUGUAUAUUAUUAUAAUCUGUGCCUUGUUUCUUCUGCUCUCUCUAGAAAAUUUUGUUAACACUAUAUUAAUGGUUUAGUUUGAUAUUUCAGGGCUCUAUAAAUAUCUUGAUGGCUACUCUGGUAAAGAGACAGACAAAAUCAAUAAGAUUCUCGUUAAGACUGUACUGUGUGUUGACGACAAAAUUGCUGAAAUCUUGGCGGCGGGGUGGUACUGCCCUCCGCGUCCCAAUGUUUUUGAUGAUCUUCCGAGGUUAAAUUGAUGGUAAACUUCCAAGUCCUAAUCUUAUUGUAAUUAAUGCUUGUUUUGAUUGAACUUUUGACAUGAACUGCUUGUAAAUGAACUUGUAAGGUUUGAUGUGUUUCAACUGCUACAGCUUCAGUAGCUUCCUCAUAUUGUUACCAUCUUGUUAUGUUCAAGCUGUAUUAUGAUGUUCACUACUUUCUCAUGUUUAAGUCUCUGUUCGGAGUGAAAUAUGCUACAUUGGCUUUUAUUUCUAGAAUCUUCUCAUGUUUGCUCUUCAUUUUUAUCUUGUCUCCUUUACUCUUCAUUUCAAAAUACUGCGACUCGCAUUGUCUAAUUUUUUUGCUCUUCAAUUCUCUGUAUGGACUGAAAUAUGUUAGUCCCUCUGUCCGGAAAUACUUCUUGGAGAAAUGGAUGUAUCUAGAUGUAUUAUAGUUAUAGAUACAUCCAUUUUUAUCCAUUUCUUCUGGACCGAGGGAGUACAUGGGAACCUUUUUUCUGGAAUCUUCUCAUGUUUGCUCUUUGUUAUUAUCUCUUCUUUACUCUUCAUUUCAAAACUACUGUCUAAUAUCUGUUUCUUUGUCUGUAGGUUCUCUUCUUGAAUGCUGUUAAAGAAUGAUAAUCCAAAGUAUUUCUAGUUACCAUCUUUGUUACUGGUAAUCUUUUCACAUAAACUUAUUUUCUAGAAUCUUCUUGUGCUUUCUCUUUGCUCCUUUACUCUUCAUUUUAAAACUACUAUCUAAUAUCUGUUUCUUUGUCUGUAGGUCCUCUUCCUCGAAUGCUGUUAAAGAAUGAUAAUCCAAAGUCUUUCUAGUUGCUAUCUUUGUUGCUGGUAAUCUUUUCACAUAAACUUAUUUUCUAGAAUCUUCUUAUGUUUUCUCUUUGCUCCUUUACUCUUCAUUUCAAAACUACUGUCUAAUAUCUGUUUCUUUGUCUGUAGGUCCUCUUCCUCGAAUGCUGUUAAAGAAUGAUAAUCCAAAGUAUUUCUAGUUAGUAUCUUUGUUACUGGUAAUCUUUUCACAUUAACUGCUUUUGGUACCAUUUGAAUUAUGAUGUUAAUGAUGACCCUCAUUGUCUAAAUUUUCCAUCCUGCACCUCUUCAUUGAUCUCCAAUUCUUUGUAUGGAGUGAAAUAUAUUACUCCCUACUCCCGGAAAUAAUUAUUGGAGAAGUUGAUGUAUCUAGAUGAAUUUUAGUUCUAGAUUCAUCCAUUUUUAUACAUUUCUCUGACAAGUAUUUCUGGACUAAGGGAGUACAUGGAAACUUAUUUUCUAGAUCUUCUCAUGUUUGCUCUUGGUUAUUAUCUUGUCUCCUUUACUCUUCAUUUCAAAAUUAUUGUCUAAUAUCUGGUUCUUUGUGUGUAGACGCUGCUACUACAGAAUAUUGCUCAGAAGUCUUGCUGGUAAACUUUUGACAUCAACUGCUUUUGACUGUUUGAACUAAUACAACUCUUUUUCCUCUUUCUGUCACCUGGCUUUUGUGUUUCACUAUAGUGUGAUGCAUAUUGUUUAGUAACGGUUCAGGCUGAAUUAGAAUGUUAACGGUGAAAUAUGUCGUUCUCAUUGUAUUUUUUCUCAUGUUUAACUCUUCAUUACUGUUCAAUUCUCUGUUGUGAGAGGAAUCUGUUACAUUGCCUUCUGUUUUCAAGAAUUUUCUCAUGUUUACUCCUCAUUAUCAUCUAUCAUUUCUCUUAAUUGUAAAAUUACAUUCUACAUUUGUUUUUUGUGCAGAUGCUGCUUGUAUGGAAUGCCACCGUGUAGAUGCUGCUCGUAUGGAAUGCCACCGUGUAGAAGCUGCUCGUAUGGAAUGCCGCUGUGUAGAUGCUGGUCGUAUGGAAUGCCGCCGUGUAGAUGCUGCUGCAGAAUCAUACUUGUGAAAUCGUUGUGAAUAUUAUGAUGUUACUGGACAAAUAUUGUUUAGGUUCUUACUGCUACCGCUUGAACAGCUUAUUGUCAGCUUGAGCACAUUGCUGUAUUACAUUGUUUUCGGUGAAACAUGUGGGGUGGUAUGCUACCUCGUCAUUAGUUUUAUUGAUAUGCCACUUGCAUUUUGUAGUUCAAUAACAGCAAUGGAAAUUUCAUGAAAUCUACUUUUGUGACGUCCAACUUAGUGUUGGAAAUUGUCACAGCCGUCCCAAG